rnacentral:snRNA from 1 species
AUUGCUUCUUGGUCUUUUGGCUAAGAUCAAGUGUAGUAUCUGUUAUUAUCAGCUUAAUAGCUAGAGAAUUGGUUUUUUAAAAAAUCCUAUUUUUGAGUGUUUUAAGUCAGAUAGGAGAGCUGAGAGAGAUACUUUGUCUACUAACUAGCCCAGGGCUAUUUAAAG